AUUGAACGCUGGCGGCAGGCCUAACACAUGCAAGUCGAACGAGGGGCGGACGGGUGAGUUAUGUCUGGGACAGUGCCCGGUGGAUGGGGAUAACUACUGGAAACGGUAGCUACUACCGCACUCCAUCGGAUGUGUCCAGAUGGGUAUAGCUAGGAGGUGGGGUACCGGCUCACCUAGGCGACGAUCCCUAGCUGGUCUGAGAGGAUGACCAGCCACACUGGAACUGAGACACGGUCCAGACUCCUACGGGAGGCAGCAGUGGGGAAUAUUGCACAAUGGGCGCAAGCCUGAUGCAGCCAUGCCGCGUGUAUGAAGAAGGCCUUCGGGUUGUAAAGUACUUUCAGCGAGGAGGCGUUACUCGCAGAAGAAGCACCGGCUAACUCCGUGCCAGCAGCCGCGGUAAUAC
rnacentral:rRNA from 1 species